rnacentral:rRNA from 1 species
GCUAUAAUUGUCAGCUAAGUGGCGCACGGGUGAGUAAUGUAUAGAUAACCUGCCCUUAAGAAAGGAAUAACAGUUGGAAACGACUGCUAAUGCCCUAUAUGCCUUUAAUACAUAAGUAUGCAAGGGAAACGCUUUAGUGCUUAAGGAUGGGUCUAUAUGGUAUCAGCUUGUUGGUGAGGUAAUGGCUCACCAAGGCUAUGACGCCUAACUGGUUUGAGAGGAUGAUCAGUCACACUGGAACUGAGACACGGUCCAGACUCCUACGGGAGGCAGCAGUGGGGAAUAUUGCACAAUGGACGAAAGUCUGAUGCAGCAACGCCGCGUGGAGGAUGACACAUUUCGGUGCGUAAACUCCUUUUAUAUAGGAAGAUAAUGACGGUACUAUAUGAAUAAGCACCGGCUAACUCCGUGCCAGCAGCCGCGGUAAUACGGAGGGUGCAAGCGUUACUCGGAAUCACUGGGCGUAAAGAGCGUGUAGGCGGGUAUAUAAGUCAGAAGUGAAAUCCAAUAGCUCAACUAUUGAACUGCUUUUGAAACUGUAUACCUAGAAUGUGGGAGAGGUAGAUGGAAUUUCUGGUGUAGGGGUAAAAUCCGUAGAGAUCAGAAGGAAUACCGAUUGCGAAGGCGAUCUACUGGAACAUUAUUGACGCUGAGACGCGAAAGCGUGGGGAGCAAACAGGAUUAGAUACCCUGGUAGUCCACGCCCUAAACGAUGUACACUAGUUGUUGUGAGGCUCGACCUUGCAGUAAUGCAGUUAACACAUUAAGUGUACCGCCUGGGGAGUACGGUCGCAAGAUUAA